GUAACGCGUGAGUAACCUGCCUUCAANAGGGGGAUAACAUUCUGAAAAGAAUGCUAAUACCGCAUGACAUAUCGGAACCACAUGGUUUUGAUAUCAAAGAUUUUAUCGCUUGGAGAUGGACUCGCGUCCGAUUAGUUAGUUGGUGAGGUAACGGCUCACCAAGACCGCGAUCGGUAGCCGGACUGAGAGGUUGAACGGCCACAUUGGGACUGAGACACGGCCCAGACUCCUACGGGAGGCAGCAUG
rnacentral:rRNA from 1 species